rnacentral:tRNA from 1 species
GCGCCUGUAGCUCAGCUGGAUAGAGCGCUGCCCUCCGGAGGCAGAGGUCAGGGGUUCGAAUCCUCUCAGGCGCGCCA